rnacentral:rRNA from 1 species
GACGAACGCUGGCGGCGUGCUUAACACAUGCAAGUCGAACGGAAAGGCCCUGCUUUUGUGGGGUGCUCGAGUGGCGAACGGGUGAGUAACACGUGAGUAACCUGCCCUUUACUUUGGGAUAACUUCAGGAAACUGGGGCUAAUACCGGAUAGGAGCUCCUGCUGCAUGGUGUGGGUUGGAAAGUUUCGGCGGGUGGGGAUGGACUCGCGGCUUAUCAGCUUGUUGGUGGGGUAGUGGCUUACCAAGGCUUUGACGGGUAGCCGGCCUGAGAGGGUGACCGGCCAAAUUGGGACUGAGAUACGGCCCAGACUCCUACGGGAGGCAGCAGUGGGGAAUAUUGCAAAAUGGGCGGAAGCCUGAUGCAGCAACGCCGCGUGCGGGAUGACGGCCUUCGGGUUGUAAACCGCUUUCGCCUGUGACGAAGCGUGAGUGACGGUAAUGGGUAAAGAAGCACCGGCUAACUACGUG